GUGGGGAAUAUUCCGCAAUGGACGAAAGUCUGACGGAGCAACGCCGCGUGAGUGAUGAAGGUUUUCGGACUGUUAAGCUCUGUUGUUUAGGACGAAAGUGCCUGCUGCAAAUAGUUACAGGUAUUGACGGUACUGAACGAGGAAGCCACGGCUAACUACGUGCCAGCAGCCGCGGUAAUACGUAGGUGGCAAGCGUUGUCCGGAAUUAUUGGGCGUAAAGAGCAUGUAGGCGGGAAUCUAAGUCUGUUGUGAAAAUGCGGGGCUCAACCCCGUAUUGCGAUGGAAACUGGGUUUCUUGAGUGCAGGAGAGGAAAGGGGAAUUCCCAGUGUAGCGGUGAAAUGCGUAGAUAUUGGGAGGAACACCAGUGGCGAAGGCGCCUUUCUGGACUGUGUCUGACGCUGAGAUGCGAAAGCCAGGGUAGCGAACGGGAUUAGAUACCCGUGUAGUCC
rnacentral:rRNA from 1 species